rnacentral:rRNA from 1 species
AUUGAACGCUGGCGGCAUGCUUUACACAUGCAAGUCAAACGGCAGCGCGGGCUUCGGCCUGGCGGCGAGUGGCGAACGGGUGAGUAAUACAUCGGAACGUGCCCAGUAGUGGGGGAUAGCUCGGCGAAAGCCGGAUUAAUACCGCAUACGACCUGAGGGUGAAAGCGGGGGAUCUUCGGACCUCGCGCUAUUGGAGCGGCCGAUGGCAGAUUAGCUAGUUGGUGGGGUAAAGGCCUACCAAGGCGACGAUCUGUAGCUGGUCUGAGAGGACGACCAGCCACACUGGGACUGAGACACGGCCCAGACUCCUACGGGAGGCAGCAGUGGGGAAUUUUGGACAAUGGGCGAAAGCCUGAUCCAGCAAUGCCGCGUGUGUGAUGAAGGCCUUCGGGUUGUAAAGCACUUUUGGCGGGAACGAAAAGGACUGUGCCAAUACCACGGUUCGAUGACGGUACCCGCAGAAUAAGCACCGGCUAACUACGUG